UAGGGAAUAUUGCUUAAUGGGCGAAAGCCUGAAGCAGCAACGCCGCGUGUGUGAAGAAGGCCUUCGGGUUGUAAAACGCUUUUUGAGGGGAUGAGGAAGGACAGUACCCUCAGAAUAAGCCUCGGCUAACUACGUGUCAGCAGCCGCGGUAAAACGUAGGAGGCGAGCGUUAUCCGGAUUUACUGGGCGUAAAGCGCGUGCAGGCGGCACGGCAAGUUGGAUGUGAAAGCUCCCGGCUUAACUGGGAGAGGUCGUUCAAAACUGCCGAGCUAGAGUGCGGGAGAGGGAGGUGGAAUUCCGGGUGUAGUGGUGAAAUGCGUAGAUAUCCGGAGGAACACCAGUGGCGAAAGCGGCCUCUUGGUCCGCAACUGACGCUCAGACGCGAAAGCUAGGGUAGCAAACGG
rnacentral:rRNA from 1 species